CCAGACUCCUACGGGAGGCAGCAGUGGGGGAUAUUGCACAAUGGGGGGAACCCUGAUGCAGCGACGCCGCGUGAGGGAAGAAGUAUUUCGGUAUGUAAAGCUCUAUCAGCAGGGAAGAAAAUGACGGUACCUGAUUAAGAAGCCCCGGCUAACUACGUGCCAGCAGCCGCGGUAAUACGUAGGGGGCAAGCGUUAUCCGGAUUUACUGGGUGUAAAGGGAGCGUAGGCGGCAGUGCAAGUCUGAAGUGAAAGCCCGGGGCUUAACCCCGGGACUGCUUUGGAAACUGUGCGGCUUGAUUGCAGGAGAGGCAAGUGGAAUUCCUAGUGUAGCGGUGAAAUGCGUAGAUAUUAGGAGGAACACCGGUGGCGAAGGCGGCUUGCUGGACUGUAACUGACGUUGAGGCUCGAAAGCGUGGGGAGCAAACAGGAUUAGAUCCC
rnacentral:rRNA from 1 species